rnacentral:tRNA from 1 species
GCCGAAGUGGCGGAAUUGGUAGACGCGCUGGACUCAAAAUCCAGUGAUGGUCCCGCCGCGGCGGGAUGCGGGUUCGAUUCCCGCCUUCGGUACCA